AACAAAGAAUGUUAUGAAUAAUAGAUGGAUGCCCAUUAUAAGGCUCAUCAUCUAGAUGUCUCUAGGGUUUUACCCUUCUCUUGUACUCCUAUAUAAAGGAUGCUUUAUUCAAUGGAAUAACACACUCAUUUCUUUUAUCUCUUUCUCUGGUUAUAACACGUUAUCAGCACGAGUCCUACCUAGCUGAGUAAACCCUAGCCACCUAAGAAAACGAAAAAAAAAA
rnacentral:sRNA from 1 species